CCCUUAGAUGUCCUGGGCCGCACGCGUGCUACACUGACACCUACACCGAGUUUUUCCAAUGCCGAAAGGCCAUUGGUAAUCAGCAAUAAGUGUCGUGAUGGGGAUAGAUCUUUGGAAUUAUUGAUCUUGAACGAGGAAUGCCUAGUAAUCGUAGGUCAUCAGCCUGCGAUGAUUACGUCCCUGCCCUUUGUACACACCGCCCGUCGCUCCUACCGAUUUCGAGUGGUUCGGUGAACCUUUCGGACCGGCAAUGCCUCGUGUUGCGCCGGAAAGUCAAGUAAACCAUAUCACUUAGAGGAAGGAGAANUCGUANCA
rnacentral:rRNA from 1 species